GAGGAUAAAGCUACUAUGAAAUUGAACCAGCAAUGAAAUAAAUUUUAAAAAAUUCUUUCAGAAUGGAGGGAAAAAGAGAUUAUCAAGCUUAAAAAAUGCCAACCAGUAUUCUAACCCAAGUGUAAAUAACAAGAUGAUAGAGAACUCUUGUAACUUGCAAAAAAACAAUUUAGUACCCCUUGAUUGAUGCCUAGUGUAAUGACUAAUUCUCUUGUUUCAUUUUUCUUACAGAUAAAAACAAAUUGGCUGCCAUCCGAGUCUGCCACAAACCCAAAUCGCCAAGCAAGCCCAUGGACAUCCUGAAGUUCAAACCUAUGUUGGGCAAGGAUCGCAAAUCUUUGACACCGUUCAAGCCAAAAUUGGCUUUCAUGAAGUACUUGGAGGGAGCCGGAAAGCCUCUGCCUAAGUCAAGCCUCGCAGCGUCGCCAAAGGUGAAUGUGACCCGCAAAAGCGGCACGCCAGCAGGUGAAAAUUCUCUUGAAGGAGUUGAUCAGCUGUUCAAAACUCCAUUCAAGAAAGGAACUACUAAAGUUGUCUCCGCAACCACCCCUAAAACGACUCCUAAGGCCGCCCUGAAGGCUACUCCCAAAACCACGCCAAAGGCAACCCCCAAAGCUACUCCAAAAUCAGCUGCUAAGGCCACUCCAAAGGCUACUCCUAGAGCCACUCCAAAGGCUACUCCAAAAGCUACUCCAAAGUCAGCUGCUAAGGCCACUCCGAAAGCAACCCCUAAGGCUACUCCUAAAGCUACUCCAAAAGCUACUCCAAAAGCUACCCCAAAAGCUACUCCAAAAGCUACUCCCAAAGCCACCCUAAAGCAACUCCAAAAGCUACACCCAUAGCAGUUGCUAAAGCCACUCCAAAAGUUAGCCCUAAAGUGACUCCCAAAGCUACUCCUAAAGCCACCCAAAAGCAACUCCCAAAGCCACCCCUAAAGCAACUCCCAAAGCCACACCUAAAGCAACUCCAAAAGCUACACCCAGAGCAGCUGCUAAAGCUACUCCGAAAGUAACGAUUUCAAAGGCAACUCCUGAAAAAUCCCAGGCAGCUACUCCUGCAGCAGCGCUUAAAGCCUCUCCAGCGCUGAAAGCUAGAGCAUCUAAAACACCAGCAAAGGCAUCACCCACGAAAACACCAGCUUCUCUGAGGAAAGGAGCAAUUUCAGCAAAAAAAUUAAAGCUUCUUAACAAGAAAAGCUCAUCCCCCACCACCUCGAAAACUCCUCCGAAAUACAGUGAGGAAGGCACAAAAACAAUCGCAGCGCUGUGG
rnacentral:lncRNA from 1 species